rnacentral:rRNA from 1 species
GGAAUCUUGGACAAUGGGGGCAACCCUGAUCCAGCGAUGCCGCGUGAGUGAAGAAGGCCUUCGGGUCGUAAAGCUCUUUAGGUUGGGAAGAAGUGUGUAUGAGGAUAAUUCAUGCACAUUGACGGUACCGACAGAAUAAGCACCGGCAAACUCUGUGCCAGCAGCCGCGGUAAUACAGAGGGUGCAAGCGUUGAUCGGAGUUACUGGGCGUAAAGGGCGCGUAGGCGGAUGAGUGUGUGUGAUGUGAAAGCCCCGGGCUUAACCUGGGAAGCGCAUCGCAAACUACUGAUCUGGAGUAUGGGAGAGGGUGAUGGAAUUUCCGGUGUAGCGGUGAAAUGCGUAGAGAUCGGAAGGAACGUCAAUGGCGAAGGCAGUCACCUGGCCCAAUACUGACGCUGAGGCGCGAAAGCGUGGGGAGCGAA